rnacentral:rRNA from 1 species
AGAGUUUGAUCCUGGCUCAGGAUGAACGCUAGCGGCAGGCUUAACACAUGCAAGUCGAGGGGCAGCGCGGGGCGGCAACGUCCUGGCGGCGACCGGCGGAAGGGUGCGUAACGCGUGAGCGACAUGCCCGUUGCCCGGGGACAACCGGUGGAAACGCCGACUAAUCCCCGAUGGGAUACGAUGCCCUGCAUGGCAUUGUAUUGAAAGUUACGGCGGCGACGGAUUGGCUCGCGUCCGAUUAGCUUGUUGGCGGGGUGACGGCCCACCAAGGCUACGAUCGGUAGGGGUUCUGAGAGGAAGGCCCCCCACAAUGGGACUGAGACACGGCCCAUACUCCUACGGGAGGCAGCAGUGAGGAAUAUUGGUCAAUGGGCGGAAGCCUGAACCAGCCAUGCCGCGUGCGGGAAGGAGGCCCUAUGGGCUGUGAACCGCUUUUGCCUGGGGGCAAUAAGGGCGUCGUGCACGUCCGAUGAGAGUACCAGGCGAAUAAGCAUCGGCUAACUCCGUGCCAGCAGCCGCGGUAAUACGGGGGAUGCGAGCGUUAUCCGGAUUCAUUGGGUUUAAAGGGUGCGUAGGCUGUGCGUCAAGUCAGGGGUGAAAUUCCGGGGCUCAACUCCGGGGCUGCCCUUGAUACUGUCGCGCUGGAGUGCGGAUGCCGCCGGAGGAAUGAGUGGUGUAGCGGUGAAAUGCUUAGAUAUCACUCAGAACACCGAUUGCGAAGGCAUCUGGCGAAUCCGUAACUGACGCUGAGGCACGAAAGCGUGGGGAUAGAACAGGAUUAGAUACCCUGGUAUUCCACGCCGUAAACGAUGAUGGCUAACCG